GCGGGUGUAGUUCAGCGGUAGAACGUCUCGUUGCCAACGAGAAGGUCGAGGGUUCAAGUCCCUUCACCCGCUCCA
rnacentral:tRNA from 1 species